CAAGGGAUGCCGGGAACUCUAAGGGGACCGCUGUCGAUAAGACAGAGGAGGGAGAGGGCGACGGUAGGUCCGUAUGCCCCGAAUCCCCCGGGCAACACGCGGGCUACAAUGCGUAGGGCAGAGGGCUGCGACCCCGAAAGGGGGAGCUAAUCCCUAAACCUGCGCCUAGUUCGGAUCGAGGGCUGCAACCCGCCCUCGUGAAGCUGGAAUCCCUAGUAAUCGCGUGUCAUUAUCGCGCGGUGAAUGCGUCGCUGCUCCUUGCACACACCGCCCGUCAAGCCAUCCGAGUGGGAUCUGGAUGAGGCUUGUUCAUUGAG
rnacentral:rRNA from 1 species